rnacentral:rRNA from 1 species
GAUGAACGCUGGCGGCGUGCCUAAUACACGCAAGUCGAGCGAACAGACGAGGAGCUUGCUCCUCUGACGUUAGCGGCGGACGGGUGAGUAACACGUGGAUAACCUACCUAUAAGACUGGGAUAACUUCGGGAAACCGGAGCUAAUACCGGAUAAUAUAUUGAACCGCAUGGUUCAAUAGUGAAAGACGGUUUUGCUGUCACUUAUAGAUGGAUCCGCGCCGCAUUAGCUAGUUGGUAAGGUAACGGCUUACCAAGGCAACGAUGCGUAGCCGACCCGAGAGGGUGAUCGGCCACACUGGAACUGAGACACGGUCCAGACUCCUACGGGAGGCAGCAGUAGGGAAUCUUCCGCAAUGGGCGAAAGCCUGACGGAGCAACGCCGCGUGAAUGAUGAAGGUCUUCGGAUCGUAAAACUCUGUUAUUAGGGAAGAACAAAUGUGUAAGUAACUAUGCACGUCUUGACGGUACCUAAUCAGAAAGCCACGGCUAACUACGUG